CCGUAUCCUCCCCUUUUCAGGCUGCUAUAGUGAUUUCAGCCUGUCUUUUCAGUGUGUCCCUGUUGGAUGCUGGUUUGGAUCUGUUUACUGUCCUCCCUGCAGUUUAACAGCAGGUUAUUUGAAGGCUGCAUAUCCUGAGCGGUGCAUUGAUUCUCAGGAACUUAUCUAUCCGCGUUUGGAUCCUCCUUUUUCGUCCUGGGUGAUUAUUGCUGUGAUUCGACUUUUCCCUCGCUGCGUGCCGAGUGAACAACCUUGGCUUACAACUAUUUAAAAGGGGAAUUCUGCUGCUGCCAUUUGGCUUUUGUGAUUUGUUUUAAC